rnacentral:ncRNA from 1 species
UUAAGCGGUAUGAAGGGAAACUUUCAUGUACCGUUCUGAGAAGAGAGGGAGGGAGCAAUCCCUCCUUCUUAUUCGAC